CAUGGUCCCUUUCCUCAGUAAUACAGGUGCGAUUGAAGCAGGUGUUAAACAUGGUCCCUUUCCUCAGUAAUACAGGUACGAUUGAAGCAGGUGUUAAACAUGGUCCCUUUCCUCAGUAAUACAGGUACGAUUGAAGCAGGUGUUAAACAUGGUCCCUUUCCUCAGUAAUACAGGUGUGAUUGAAGCAGGUGUUAAACAUGGUCCCUUUCCUCAGUAAUACAGGUACGAUUGAAGCAGGUGUUAAACAUGGUCCCUUUCCUCAGUAAUACAGGUACGAUUGAAGCAGGUGUUAAACAUGGUCCCUUUCCUCAGUAAUACAGGUGUGAUUGAAGCAGGUGUUAAACAUGGUCCCUUUCCUCAGUAAUACAGGUGCGAUUGAAGCAGGUGUUAAACAUGGUCCCUUUCCUCAGUAAUACAGGUACGAUUGAAGCAGGUGUUAAACAUGGUCCCUUUCCUCAGUAAUACAGGUGUGAUUGAAGCAGGUGUUAAACAUGGUCCCUUUCCUCAGUAAUACAGGUGCGAUUGAAGCAGGUGUUAAACAUGGUCCCUUUCCUCAGUAAUACAGGUACGAUUGAAGCAGGUGUUAAACAUGGUCCCUUUCCUCAGUAAUACAGGUACGAUUGAAGCAGGUGUUAAACAUGGUCCCUUUCCUCAGUAAUACAGGUGUGAUUGAAGCAGGUGUUAAACAUGGUCCCUUUCCUCAGUAAUACAGGUGCGAUUGAAGCAGGUGUUAA